CUAUCGCUUACAGAUGGGCCCGCGGUGCAUUAGCUAGUUGGUAGGGUAAUGGCCUACCAAGGCAACGAUGCAUAGCCGACCUGAGAGGGUGAUCGGCCACACUGGGACUGAGACACGGCCCAGACUCCUACGGGAGGCAGCAGUAGGGAAUCUUCCGCAAUGGACGAAAGUCUGACGGAGCAACGCCGCGUGUAUGAAGAAGGUUUUCGGAUCGUAAAGUACUGUUGUUAGAGAAGAACAAGGAUAAGAGUAACUGCUUGUCCCUUGACGGUAUCUAACCAGAAAGCCACGGCUAACUACGUGCCAGCAGCCGCGGUAAUACGUAGGUGGCAAGCGUUGUCCGGAUUUAUUGGGCGUAAAGCGCGCGCAGGCGGUCUUUUAAGUCUGAUGUGAAAGCCCCCGGCUUAACCGGGGAGG
rnacentral:rRNA from 1 species